rnacentral:rRNA from 1 species
GAUCAUAGCUCAGGACGAACGCUGGCGGCGUGCUUAACACAUGCAAGUCGAACGGAGCACCCUUGAUUGAGGUUUCGGCCAAAUGAUAGGAAUGCUUAGUGGCGGACUGGUGAGUAACGCGUGAGGAACCGUGCCUUUCAGAGGGGGACAACAGUUGGAAACGACUGCUAAUACCGCAUGACGCAUUUUAGAUCGCAUGGUUCGAAAUGCCAAAGAUUUAUCG